GGUUGAUCCUGCCAGUAGCAUAUGCUUGUCUCAAGGACUAAGCCAUGCAUGUCUAAGUAUAAACAACUUUAUACUGUGAAACUGCAGAAGGCUCAUUAAACCAGUUAUAAUUUAUUUGAUGAUGACUUUUUUACUUGGAUAACCGUAGUAAUUCUAGAGCUAAUACAUGCGUAAAGUCCCGACUCCUUUGUGAGGAAGGAUGUAUUUAUUAGAUGAUAAAACCAAUGCAGGGGGCUUUGCUCCCUGGUUUUUUUGGUGAGUCAUAAUAACUGUUAGCGAAUCGCAUAGCUUU
rnacentral:rRNA from 1 species